ACAAUAGUUUGUAUAACACUUCCCUGCGUCAACAAUACCUGCAAAUAUCACUUCAAUGUAUGCAUAGGAACGCAAAGUGUAGGUACUCUGUCUUCAUACCUCUGAGGGUAUAAAACCACAUCAUAUGCAAAUAUCACUUCAAUGAAUGCAUAUGAAUGCAAUGCAUAUGUCCUCUGCCUUCAUACCUCUAAGGGUAUGAAGCCGCAUCGUACCCCUCCUCGGGCAACAUACGAUGCUAAGUUGUACCGGUACGGUCGGACCAUAGGUCACGACCCAACUUCAGAUGCAAGUGAAUCAUGCAAUGUAUGUGGCAUGCUGCAUUUAUCAAUAUACUUAACUUCCUUCACAUGCAAUACGAAUCUCAAAUAAUACUUCAUUACCUUCAGAUACAAUACAAACCUCAAAUAAUACUUCAUUUACCUUCAGGGGUGUGAAUUAAUCUCAUGAUUCGUACUCGAAUCAUAAUCAUCAUCAAUAUAUGAUUGAGCAUCAGGAUAAUGCAAGCAAGUAAAGCAUCACCAUGGAGUCCAAUUAUGAAAGAAUCCAAUAAUUCUGAAUACUAGAGUGUAGGCGAUAGAAAUAACAGGUCAGAACGGAAGCAAUCACCCCUACAUUCACUUGCCUUCAUCGAAGAAGAAAAAUGUACUAGGCAUGAUCUGGAGUGUAGCCACCUGCUAGCGGGCAUAAAACUUAGUACAAAUAUUUCACAAACAUUUGCCAACAAUCAACAAAUCGCUCCUACACUUGAAACCAAGACCUGGUGGAAAACCUCCCACUCUGAACCACAUGCCAUACAACAGCAACACUGUUUGUUAAUUUUGUAUCUUUAAAAUUAUAACAGUGGUGAUAUCAAACAAAUACUCUAGGAGUAUCUACACAAAAUACUCUACAACUUCGGUAUUUGAUGGAUAAUUAAAUUCUGCCAUCUAUAAGUUCUAAAACAUCUGACAAGAUAAUUGACUGAAUCUGUUUUAGACAGCAGCAUAGUUAACUUUCAAAAUUCAAUAUCUCACAAACUACUCAACCAAAAAUCAUGAAAUUCUUCUGGAAGUAAGAACUUUUAUCCCUCUACAAAAUUCUCCAUAGCUGGGAGAGCCAAUUCGGCCAUUUACCUAAUGAAACCUACCAGUGAACAGACCCGCUCAUUUCUGUCAGGCCAACAGAAACAACCACAGUAAAACAAACAUAACUGGAGUUUAAUAAUUCAUAUGAAUGCACUCCUUAACAAUCUGGAAAGCUUAUGUAAUUAUCUAUAUCUUUUUUUACAAACCCAAGGUUUAAUUUUGUUGAUAAAAUUGCCUAAAUCUUAAGAGAACAGAUUCUGCACAGAAUUAAGAGACUGAAAAAUUGCUAUAAUCAAACUGCAAUAACUCUCUGAGCUGAUGUCCGAUUGAGGUGUUCUUCGCGGCCACGGAAAGAUCUACAAAUUAUCUACGACUCAUAUAUAGACUUUUUAUUUUUUUGAAGCCACUAAGACCAUGGAAAACUGGCAUGAACAGAAACUGUCGAAUCUUCCAUUCUGCAGAAAACUAAAUUCGAGAUCAAAACCUAACCCCACAUCUAAUCCAACCUCUAAUCCUUUAAUUCCCAUGAUCCACAACCUCCAAAAGCACAUAAUUACAGGGAGGAACAAGGAUCUCAUCCAUACCUAGGGUUUCCCCAAGAAAUUCUGCAAGAAGAGAUGGGGAAGAACAUCUCCUUGAUCCUCUCUUCCCCUUCAAUUCAACGUGCUCCUCCUCUUCUCGAUCCUUGCUGCGCGGGGGAGAUCUAGAGGGAGGAGGAAGCCGUGGAGAGGGGCUGCCAUAGGAGGAGAGGAUGGCCAGCCCAAGGGGAAAGGAGGGAGGGGCGGCCAAGUGUGGGAGGGGGGGAAGGGGUGGUGGCCAAGUAGGGGGAAAAGGGGGAAAAGGCCACCACUAGGGUUUUCUUUGCGGGAGAAAAGAAGCGACGCCACAGAUGACUCCGACUUAGCAUCCAACGGCCCACAACCCUUUUCCCACAUCCACGCACCGAAGAUCAACCUUUGGCAACAUUUUUUUGGGAUAUUACAACUUGCUUGGAUUCAAGUAUAGGGCUGAUCCAUACAGUUUUUGCUCCAUUUGAUUUUCCCAUCUUUUUCAAAGCAUGAUAGUACAUCUGCUUGUAAUCUUGGCUUAUCUUUCAAUGACUCCUUUAUGGUGGCUUUUGCAACAUCCAAUGUUGCCAUGAUUUCUUGGGUUGCUGGUGUCUCAUCUCCAUCAACAAUCCUUAGAGCAACGAGGAGUGGUUGUGAAGCCCUUAGACAGUUUUCCACGUUUUCCCAAAAUGGCAUAGAAAGCACAAUUCUUGUGAUUUACCUCCCUUCUUCAGUGUUGGGAAACUUAGUUAGGUGCCACUCAUCACUAACAAAUAUACUCUUUAGACCAUUCCUAUGCCUAAGCAUGCUCGCCAAUGUCAGAAAUGAGGUAGCAAAUCGAGUCACACCUGGCCUAACAAGAUCACCACCUAGCUUCUCUCUCAUUAGGUUGUGAAUUCUACCAUGCUUGUUACACUAAAUGGGCCUUAAUUGUAGAUGUCCAGCCUAAAGCAAAAACAGGCCAACCGCUAGCCAACUAAACCUAACUAAUCGUCCACACAUUAACUUGACGACUAAUCACACUUGGUCGACGACUGGACGAUUAGUCGACCUAAUCGGAUCAGAUACCCUGGUCGCUCCACUAAAACCGACUAGUCCGACUAAUCACGACUAGUCGGACGACUUGAAAUCAUUGGGCCUAACCAAAUCGCCGCCAAUGAGUAUAUAACAUCCAAUCCAACUAAUUUUGAUGCCAAGUCACAUGAAUAGGAAACUAUUUUAGAGAAAACUAAAGUAGCACAAUUCAUGCAGGUCAAGAGAACAUCAAAUUACUUUGACUUAUUCAUAGACCUGAUCAUAGGAUGCCCGACUCGAUUUGCUCGAAAAAACACGACUCGACCCGACCAAUGCAACAGGUGGGUACGAGAAAUAGUUUUUGGCUCGCAACAAUCCACAGUCUCGACACAGGCCAUGAAGUUUAUUCCAAAACCUGACCUAACCCGAAAAACCUGAUCUAAAGCAAAAAAAAAACCUGACCUUAUACAUCUAACAGGGAAGCAUGGGCCAACUCGACCCGACACUAGGCACGAGUCGGGUACGGGCCGUGUCAAACGACCCACUACCCGACCUUGAUUCGACCUGAACCGACGUUUGAUUAGGUCUACUUAUUUGGUAAUACUAUAAUUUGAAGCAUAACUACACAUACUAAAUAAAUUAGACAUUUGAAGUAACACAAACCAUGCUUAAUAAGUGUUGGGAUCGGUGUGUUUGACCCAAUGUGUGCCAUGUGUACAUAAAACACUCUAUUUUCUAAACUUAAUUGAAUGGCAUAGCUCCUGCCUUUUAUUUUUUUUAAAUGCAUAGACUAAAAGAAUGGUAAAACAAGUGAAUGAAUCAUAUGAAACACCAAACUUUUGGAAAUUCUAUAGAUGGAAAACAACACCUCUGUUGAAACAAACAUGUAAAACUGUUCCAGAAUUGCAUUUCUUCAAUGGCAAUGAGAUUGCAGUUGCGUCUUCUAAACUCAGAUAGUUAGUAAGGUUGAGAAAAAGUUCCCCGAGGAUAACACCUUUGGUUGAUCCCUAUAACAUGAGAUGUUUUGCAUGUAACACUACAAUAUAGUACAUAGGCAAAAAAUCUUAUAAACAAGUAAUAAAUAAAAUAUAUGUAUAGUAACAAAACUAUACCAUGGAAACAACAAUCCUACAUUGACAAUCCUCAUAUUAUUUCGACACUACAUCUUGAGAAAACCAAAUUGAUUCUAGGAUCGAGUCAGGCCAUUGGCAAAUUCAUAUUAGAGCGGCCACUUUACUGACCUGGCAAUUGUUUUGCAUGUGUCCACUAAGAUUAUAGAAAUUAACAGCCUGGCACAUGUUUAGAAACAAUAAAAUAGAAGAUAACAUUAACAGACUUAUCUCACUAGUAACUAUUGAAUAAAUGUCAGUCAAAAUCACAUUAAUAAACUCGAGUACUUCAGGACAUCACACAACAUUACCACUGAAUUCACAAGCAUAAUUGGUGUUUAUAUUUCACCAUCAUGGAACAAAUGAAAUAGCACAUGUAUUGUUUCCUCAAUAUGUUUUAUGAUGCAUGUCACCAUGCCUAUUAUGAGCAAAAUGAGUACAAGUGCCGAACAAUAAAUGCCAGACCCUUAUACAAUCAUAUAUAGUUGCAAUCAAUCUGGGCCACAGUUACUACUUAAAGCUGCAUGCUCAUUAUAAUCAGGAAUAACAUGUAAGCACACUCCUCAACAAACCAUGAAGAGGUGGAGCCAUCUACAAGCACAAUUAUCUCCAGGUAGCAAAAAAUUAUCAUUAAACACCAAGGAGGAAACUCUUUUUCUACUACAAAGAGUGCAUAUGUACACUUCAACCUGCCAAACAAUGUAUGUAUCCAAUUCUAUCAUUCUAUGGAUUAUGAAUCGAUUGUCUGGUCCAUCACACGAGGACAAAUCGCCGUAUCACAUGGCAGUACUGAAUCAUCAACGGCAAUUUUUUUCCAAACCCAGAAUUCAAACGGCUCAAUCUUGAGUUGCAAUUCUUGCCCCUACCUAAAAUUCCUAAUGCAUACCCUAACGAUGGAACCAAUGACCGCUCGACCUCGCACAAAUCACCGAGCUCGCAAGUCGCAACGUAUAAUAAUGAGAGAAACAAACAAACAAAAGUCUUCAGUGUCACCUGGCCGGCACGAAGGUUGGAGAACCUGAACUCCACUCGCUCCCCAAGUCGGUUCAAGGAACGCCUGCGCCGCGGUUUAGCCUCGACAUCCAGCCCUCACCCCCGUCGCCGGUUUGGACGUGCGUGCGCAAUCAAUCUGGCUUCUGGCCUCCUCUGCGCCGUAGCGCUAUACCUGUAUGGAUCAUUGCGAUAUACAUGCAGGGGUAAUACCUGCAUGGAUCAUUG
rnacentral:lncRNA from 1 species